AGCAGUAGCGCGGGAAUACGGAGGGAGCUAGCGUUGUUCGGAAUUACUGGGCGUAAAGCGCGCGUAGGCGGUUACUCAAGUCAGAGGUGAAAGCCCGGGGCUCAACCCCGGAACUGCCUUUGAAACUAGGUGACUAGAAUCUUGGAGAGGUCAGUGGAAUUCCGAGUGUAGAGGUGAAAUUCGUAGAUAUUCGGAAGAACACCAGUGGCGAAGGCGACUGACUGGACAAGUAUUGACGCUGAGGUGCGAAAGCGUGGGGAGCAAACAGGAUUAGAUACCCGCGUAGUCCCUGUCUCUUAUACA
rnacentral:rRNA from 1 species